rnacentral:rRNA from 1 species
UACGUAGGGGGCAAGCGUUGUCCGGAAUUAUUGGGCGUAAAGCGCGUGUAGGCGGUCCGGUAAGUCGGCUGUGAAAGUCCAGGGCUCAACCCUGGGAUGCCGGUCGAUACUGCCGGACUAGAGUUCGGAAGAGGCGAGUGGAAUUCCAGGUGUAGCGGUGAAAUGCGUAGAUAUCUGGAGGAACACCGGUGGCGAAGGCGGCAUCCUGGACCAAUAUUGACGCUGAGGAGCGAAAGCUAGGGGAGCAAACGGG